rnacentral:rRNA from 1 species
UAAAUUUUCAACGAUGGAUAUCUAGGCUCCUAUAACGAUGAAGAACGCAGCGAAAUGCGAUACGCAAUGCGAAUUGCAGAACCGUGAGUCAUCAGAUCUUUGAACGCAAGUGGCGAUGGUUUCGGCCAUCAUGUUUGUUUCAGUGUGUUCGGUUAAUUACAUCAUAGAAUUUAAUGUGACUGAAGCGAUUCUUUCACUGAAUAUGAGGAAGUGUCAGCCAGAUGACAUUAAGCGAACUAGUCACUAAUUUGGUGAUAAUCGUUUAAGUGUUCCUGGUUGUAAAUCACUGCCUAGUAAUCAACUAUCCAAUCAUAACACCUGAAAUAAGCAAGAAUACCCGCUGAACUUAAGCAUAUCAGUAAGCGGAGGAAAAGAAAAUAACAAUGAUUACCUCAGUAGCGGCGAGUGAAGAGGUAUUAGCCCAAGAUGUUAAUCUGUGUUAAAGACAUAGAAUUGUAAUCUAUGGAAUCAAUCAGAAAGCGGAAGCCUGCCAUAAGUCUCUUGGAACAGCGCCCAAAGAGGGUGAAAGCCCCGUCUUCGGGUAGGACGAUGCAAUAUGAAAGAUUUCUAAGAGUCGGGUAGUUUGGGAAUGCUGCCCUAAGUGGGAGAUAAACUUCUCCUAAGGCUAAAUAUUUAUAGGAGACCGAUAGCAUACAAGUACUGCGAAGGAAAGAUGAAAAGAACUUUGAAAAGAGGGUUAAAAGACUUGAAAUCGUUGAAAAGGAAGCAGUAAAAGAGAAAUUAUUUACUUGCGAAUAAGGUUUUGGGCUAAGCUCUGUGGUGUAUGAUUCUUAACAAGGUCAUUGCCAUUCUGCGAAAACCAACUCACUUUUUACAGGUAAUAGACAAAAUGAGAUUGAGUUGUAAAAAUAAGGUUAGAAGUGUAUUCUUCGACUCGAAUUUACAAGUCAGUCUGAGGGAUCUUAGGAUGAUUUUGUCAAAAUGGCUUUUACUGACCCGUCUUGAAACACGGACCAAGGAGUCUACCUAUUAUGCGAGUGUUGGGGUGGAAAAACCCGAACGCCAACCGAAAGGGAUUUAAGAUGUGAGGCGCGAGCUACAACAUCAACCAAUCUUGAUUCUUUGAAGAAAGACUUGAGUAAGAGCAUAAUCGGUAGGACCCGAAAGAUGGUGAACUACGGUUGAGUAGGGUGAAGCCAGGGGAAACUCUGGUGGAGGCUCGAAGCGUUACUGACGUGCAAAUCGUUCGUCAAACUUGACUGUAGGGGCGAAAGACUAAUCGAACCAUCUAGUAGCUGGUUCCCUCUGAAAUUUCUCUCAGGAUAGCAGGAACAGAUAAAGCAGUUUUAUCAGGUAAAGCUAAUGAUUAGUGGAAUCGGGGGUCUCCGACCCUUGACCAAUUCUCAAACUUUAAAUUGGUAAGAACCUGGAGUUUUCUUAAUUGAACUUUAGGGUAGAAUGCAUUGUUCUUAGUGGGCCAUUUUUGGUAAGCAGAACUGGCGAUGAGGGAUGAACCUAACGUUGAGAUAAGGUGCCCAAAUUCACGCUCAUCAGACACCAUAAAAGGCGUUGGUUAGUAUAAACAGCCGGACUGUGGCCAUGGAAGUCGGCACCAGCUAAGGAGUGUGUAACAACUCACCAGCCGAAUUAACCAGCCCUGAAAAUUGAUGGCGCUAAGCGUGAUACCGAUACUCAACCAUCAUAGCAAAUAGAAGUUGUGAUGAGUAAGAGGGCGUGAAGACUGUGUAGAAGGCUUGGAUGUGAAUCUGGCUGGAACAGUCUUUAGUGCAGAUCUUGGUGGUAGUAGCAAAUAUUCAAAUGAGAACUUUGAAGACCGAAGUGGAGAAGGGUUCCAUGAGAACAGCAUUUGGUCAUGGGUUACUCGAUCCUAAGACAUAGGGAAAUUCCUUGUAAUACAUUUAUACUUAACGUAUAUGUAGUCAAAAGGGAAUGAGGUUCAUAUUCCUCAAGCUGGAUGUGGGGGCUAUGUGGCAACACAAACAAGCUCGAAGACAUCGGUAUGUGCAACUGGAAGAGUUCUCUUUUCUUCUUAACAGUCUAUCUCCCUGAAAGGAUUAUCCAGAGCUAGGGAUAUAUGGCUGGCAGAGCAGUUCUCCAUUGAAUUGUCAGUGAAGCUCAUAACGAUCCUUGAAAAUUCGAGUAAGAUUAUCCCAUCACACCAGGUCGUACCCAUAACCGCAUCAGGUCUCCAAGGUUAGCAGCCUCUGGUCGAUAGAAUAACGUGGAUAAGGGAAUUCGGCAUAUUAGAUCCGUAACUUCGGGAAAAGGAUUGGCUCUGAGGGUUGGGUGCGGUGCCAAUGAGAUGGAACUAGGAUCUGAUCAGGAAUUAGUCGUAAGACUGAGUCUCGAUUGGAGAUAAGGAAAGUCUUUGCGGCUAACACGAUUAACAACCGACUCAGAACUGAAGCGGACAAGGGGAAUCCGACUGUUUAAUAAAAACAUAGCUUUGUGAUGGCCUCAAAAGGUGUUGACACAAAGUGAUUUCUGCCCAGUGCUUUGAAUGUGAAUAUGAAGUAAU